rnacentral:rRNA from 1 species
UAGCAUUACUAGUAUUAGAGGCAAUGCCUGCCCAGUGACACCAGUUUAACGGCCGCGGUAUUCUGACCGUGCAAAGGUAGCAUAAUCACUUGUUCUCCAAAUAAGGACUUGUAUGAAUGGCCACACGAGGGUUUUACUGUCUCUUACUUCCAAUCAGUGAAAUUAACCUUCCCGUGAAGAGGYGGGAAUAAAAAARUAAGACGAGAAGACCCUAUGGAGCUUUAAUUAACUAUUCCAAAAGUUAAACAACUCAACCACAAAGGGAUAAAACAUAACUUAACAUGGACUAGCAAUUUCGGUUGGGGUGACCUCGGAGUACAAAAAACCCUCCGAGUGAUUUUAAUCUAGACAAACCAGUCAAAAUAACCAUAACAUCACUUAUUGAUCCAAAAUUUUGAUCAACGGAACAAGUUACCCUAGGGAUAACAGCGCAAUCCUGUUCUAGAGUUCCUAUCGACAAUAGGGUUUACGACCUCGAUGUUGGAUCAGGACACCCAAAUGGUGCAACCGCUAUUAAAGGUUCGUUUGUUCAACGAUUAAAGUCCU